rnacentral:rRNA from 1 species
CAGCCGCCGCGGUAAAACGUAGGGUGCAAGCGUUAAUCGGAAUUACUGGGCGUAAAGCGUGCGCAGGCGGUUUGUUAAGACAGAUGUGAAAUCCCCGGGCUCAACCUGUGAACUGCAUUUGUGACUGGCAAGCUAGAGUAUGGCAGAGGGGGGUGGAAUUCCGCGUGUAGCGGUGAACUGCGUAGAGAUGUGGAGGAACACCAGUGGCGAAGGCGACUCUCUGGUCUGUAACUGACGCUGAGGAGCGAAAGCGUGGGGAGCGAACAGGAUUAGAUACCCCUGUAGUCCCUGUCUCUUAUAC